CCCCCCUCCCGUUUAUAGGAAAAGAAAAACAUCCCCCGCUGGGCCGCAGCGGCACCACCACCCAAAGCAAAGCGGAGCUGCGGAAGCGCGAAGGGGACGCAAGGGAGCGAGGCGCUGCGCGGCAGCGGGCAAACCCUAGGCGUACGGCGGGCGCCACAACCCCCGGCGGAGGGCAGGCUCCGCACGGCUCGGCUCGAUUCUGCCGGCUCUGACCCCGCCAAGCGGCCAUGUCGAACAGGUCCAUUUGCAAGUUCUUUGUGAAUGGUGCUUGCUUUAAAGGAGACUACUGCCAAUUCUCCCAUGACUGGAAUGAUCAACCAAAUGAUGUCUGCACAUUUUACCAGAACGGUGUGUGCUCUUAUGGCAGUCGUUGCAGAUAUGAACAUGUUGAAGUUUCUUCUGAAUACACCCCACCAUCAACUACUGCAGCACUUGCACCAUCCAACUCUUAUCUGUCUUGGUGUCCUCUUUGUGAGGGGGAAAUAGAUGUGAGCAACCAGACACACAAAAGUUUAUCGGUAUGCUCUGUGCAUCAGUCUACCUGGAGAUUUGAUGAUGAAGAUUGCAUUCCAGAGGAUGGGAACAGCUUGUCAUCAGCACUAACUGCACAAAACCAAGCGCUCCACCCACUUGCUCAUCUGCCCAUAUGCUCUUUUGCCGCAGCUGGAACUUGUCCCUAUGGGAAAGAGUGCCCUCAGAUGCAUGGGGAUCCAUGCACAUCCUGUGGAAAACAGUGCUUGCAUCCCUACCGGCCCAGCGAAGGUGGGGCUCAUAUCAAGCUCUGCAAGAGAAACAACAAACGUCUUGAGACCUUGAAAAAAAGUGAAGAGAUGGAAUGUAGUGUGUGUUUGGACCGUGUGCUUUCAAAGCCCACAGCAGCGGAAAAGAGGUUUGGGCUUCUACCUGAAUGUGACCAUGCCUUCUGUAUCACAUGCAUUAGGAAGUGGCGCAGCAGCUCUCUUACAUCUUCUAUGGAUAUCGACUCUACAGUCAAGGCUUGUCCAAUAUGCCGCAAAGUCUCGUACUAUGUCAUUCCUAGUGCUACAUGGUACUCCUCGAAGGAGGAAAAACAGGAUAUAAUUGACGGUUACAAGGCCAAGCUCAAGUCGAUUGAUUGUAGGUACUUUGACUUUGGAAGGGACACUUGCCCCUUUGGUGGUCGAUGUUUCUACAAGCAUGCCUACACCGAUGGGCGUUUGGAGGAGCCGGCAACGGUGGCAGUGCUUCAUUUUCAUGCCGACAAUGGUAGUAUGGAGCAUGCAAGAAAUAUUGGGUUGGUACUCUAUUGGUGGUCUUCUCUAUAUAAUGUAUAACCUCUGCUUGCUUUCUGAUGAGAAAUUCUGAUGUAUAACCUCUGCUUGCAUAUCCGAUGGAAAAUUCUGUUCCAACAUGUAGAUUGGCGUACUUGCUCAGCCGGUUACAUCUGUAGCAUCCAGAAGGAAGCUGUUGAGAAGAGAAGUACGUACUUACUUAGGGAGCCAUAACUUUCUCUCCGGCUGGUGGUUGCUGCCAACUUAUAAUCCAAGGUAGUCAGCUGCUGUAAAAGCACUCCGGCUGGUGGUUGCUGCCAACUUAUAAUCCAAGGUAGUCAGCUGCUGUAAAAGCAGAGGGUUCCUGACGGUUGAUCCUGUCUUCUCAAGAAUUUCGUGGUUCUACUCUUUACUGCUGAAUGCAGAAACUUCAGUUUCCUGCCGUAAAUCUCCAAAAAAGUUACAAGACAACUGUAAAUCUAACGGCAGCGGAGAUGUCAUGCCUCAGGUCAUCACGGGUUCCUUGUCAUGAACAAUCGUUGUGUUGUCUUUGGGCUAGGAGUUCUCCUGUCGAACAUCAGAACUUCACGUCGUUACCUUGCCUGUGUACGAAAGACACUGUAUAUACUCGUAGUGGUACAUCCUGUCCGUUUCUCGUCCAUGGAGUAAAUAAUUUGUUCAGGCUAUAAAGGUAGAACAGUGCAACGCAGAUCUUUCUAUACGUGAAUUUAUGCUUUGGCCCGCGGGUUGAAGCCUGUAAGGUCUCGGUGCUA